rnacentral:rRNA from 1 species
GUGCCAGCCGCCGCGGUAAUACGGGGGGACAAGCGUUGUUCAGAUUCACUGGGCGUAAAGGGCGCGUAGGCGGGCUUUCAAGUCGGAUGUGAAACCUGUCGGCUUAACCGACAGCCUGCAUCCGAUACUGUUGGUCUUGAGUACGGAAGAGGAGAACGGAAUUCCAGGUGUAGCGGUGAAAUGCGUAGAUAUCUGGAAGAACACCAGUAGCGAAGGCGGCUCUCUGGUCCGAUACUGACGCUCAAGCGCGAAGGCUAGGGGAGCAAACAGGAUUAGAUACCCUGGUAGUCCUAGCGGUAAA